UAAAGCGAGACAUGAAAUACGGAAACCAUUCUACUAAAGAUUGAUGUUUAGCAAGUCUACUAAAAAGAAGUUUCCUUCAAACCUGGAGACGAAAAUAAGUGGAAUAACUGGAAUUAAUUACAUCAUCAUCAUGGAUCAGUUAAAAGGAAUCAGCACGUGCAACUUGCAAACUUCGUGAAGUUUUGGGCGAGUCCAUUUCAUCUUAUCAUCAAGUCCUCCUCCAAUCAUACAUGGGAGAUACUGCCUUGACCAAUGCCAUCGUAAACCAGGUAUCUUCCUCCUGCACCAAGAAAGUAAAGAAAUUACGAGAACCAGCGUUUACUUGUCUGGAGUAGGUUAAAAUGAUGUAUUGAAGGAAGGCAAAGCACGUGAAUCGAAAGAGGACUCUAGGGUUCGGGGUUUG